rnacentral:rRNA from 1 species
GUGAACCGUCUAGAGGCAAACGGAGAGGACCGUAUGGUCCGCCCGUCGGAUUCAGUCCGCGAGCCCGGCCGGGGCGUCGGCGGCGCAUCCCUCGUGGGAGCGCUCCGGCGUCUGUUCGGCCGGGCCGCGGCCGUACUUUCGGCGGGCGGAGCGCCACGACCGGUUCGCGGGCGGCGAGAAACUCCCGGGCAAGGUGACCUUCGCCUCGGCGCAGGAACAUAUAGGCCCGGCGAGCGGAGGCCCGUCGGCGGACCGAGGAAGACCGUCGCGGGGCGGCGUCGACCGCCCGUCGUGCUACGGCGUUCGACUCGGGGGGACUGGUUCCAGUGCCCUCGGACCGCGCCGGCGCAUCGGCGGGACGGCCCGGCGUCGCCUCUGGGGUCGGUGGCGAAACGGCCGGCAACCUGUCCGACCCGUCUUGAAACACGGACCAAGGAGUCUAACAUGUGCGCGAGUCGUUGGGCGCUACGAAACCCGAAGGCGCAAUGAAAGUGAAGGCCCGGUCUCGUGCCGGCCUGGGUGGGAUCCGGGCGGCCUCGGCCGUCCGGCGCACCACCGGCCCGUCUCGAUCGCGACGUCGAUGAGGCGGAGCAAGAGCGUACACGUUGGGACCCGAAAGAUGGUGAACUAUGCCCGAGUAGGACGAAGCCAGAGGAAACUCUGGUGGAGGUCCGCAGCGAUUCUGACGUGCAAAUCGAUCGUCAAACUUGGGUAUAGGGGCGAAAGACUAAUCGAACCAUCUAGUAGCUGGUUCCUGUCGAAGUUUCCCUCAGGAUAGCUGGCGCUCGUCGUGAGCAGUUUUAUCCGGUAAAGCGAAUGACUG